rnacentral:rRNA from 1 species
GGGUUGUGAGGUUAAGCGACUAAGCGUACACGGUGGAUGCCCUGGCAGUCAGAGGCGAUGAAGGACGUGCUAAUCUGCGAUAAGCGCCGGUAAGGUGAUAUGAACCGUUAUAACCGGCGAUUUCCGAAUGGGGAAACCCAGUGUGAUUCGUCACACUAUCAUUAACUGAAUCCAUAGGUUAAUGAGGCGAACCGGGGGAACUGAAACAUCUAAGUACCCCGAGGAAAAGAAAUCAACCGAGAUUCCCCCAGUAGCGGCGAGCGAACGGGGAGGAGCCCAGAGCCUGAAUCAGCAUGUGUGUUAGUGGAAGCGUCUGGAAAGGCGCGCGAUACAGGGUGACAGCCCCGUACACAAAAGCGCAUGUGCUGUGAGCUCGAUGAGUAGGGCGGGACACGUGGUAUCCUGUCUGAAUAUGGGGGGACCAUCCUCCAAGGCUAAAUACUCCUGACUGACCGAUAGUGAACCAGUACCGUGAGGGAAAGGCGAAAAGAACCCCGGCGAGGGGAGUGAAAAAGAACCUGAAACCGUGUACGUACAAGCAGUGGGAGCCCCACCACUAAGC